AUUGUUUUAGUUUAGUCGGUAAAGUGUGUGGUUUUUAACCACGUGAUCAUAGGUUUGAUUCCUAUAAAUAGUG
rfam:Gossypium arboreum cultivar AKA8401 contig_18579_3, whole genome shotgun sequence.